rnacentral:tRNA from 1 species
UCCCAUGUGGUCUAGAGGUUAUGAUGUCUGGUUUUCACCCAGAAGAUCACGAGUUCGAAUCUCGUCAUGGGAA